UCGGUUCCUUCCUGAAUUGCUCCCGUGGCUCCUGGAGGCGGGAGAACUCAGCGCUCACCCUGGUCCUGAGUUUCUGAGAACACAGAACUGCAAACCACAUCACAAACAUUUUCAAAGGAGUCUUAUCUGUAGAAAUAGUCUUCCAAAGAGAAAUGUCAGAUCCUUCCCCCACAAAAUGGUUUAAAAAGCCAGCAACACGUUAGCAGAAACUGAAGGAAAUCAUUUUAUCAGGUGGCGUAGCAAUAGAGAAGGGGAUUUCUUACUGAGUCUAAUACUAGGAAAUGUAAGCUCUGGGAUUGUUUGUCAAGAAACUAAAUGAAAUCCUUUCAGCAGGUGGCACAGCUGAGAGCUGGACCCAGAAUGGCCCGUGAACAUAGCACAGAUUAGAACUUGAGAAAGAAAGAUCCAGGAGUGUCCUACAGUGUCUCCUAGGCAAAGGUCCAUGCGGCAGAAGCCCUGACUCAGAGUAGCCACCCCACUAACCUCUACUGAGCCCUUACCACAUGCCUUGUCUGGGGACCAUCUCACUGAAGCCCCCCAACAGCCCCACGAGAAAGGUGCUGUCAUCAGGCCCUUUGAGAGACGAGGAAACGGAGCCUCAGAGAAGUCAAGUGAGCAACUCAGGGUCACGUGGCCAGGAGGCCAGGUGCCCCUCAGCUUCAGGGGGCAGGGGACAGAGAGAGGGGCUGACAUGUGUGACUUCCAAAGAGCCUAUAGGACUGAGUCUCUCAGGGCAGCCGUGGGCUUGGUGUGGCCUCUUCUGCCAGCCUGCCUCCCAAGCUCAGCGCCUACCUUGGGCCUCCAGGUUCGUACCAUCUGCCCGGUGGUCUGUCCGUCCUGGCUGAGCCUGCCUCAAGGAGGUGCUGGCCCAUGGCAGGUGGCUCAGAUAGAGGCUGAGGGGACAGACAGCAGAGGGGUGCUGGGAGAGCUCAGGUGGGCUUCCAUCUCCUGGUCACACACCAUGUUCCUGACUGGAGCCUUCUGAACCCUCCUCCCUCUGCCAGACGCAGGCUCCUCCUCUCCACACUCUGAGGCUCUCUCCUGCCCACCUCUCCCGGGAGUGGCCAAUCGAAGGCUGAAUGGUUUAAAUGAGAAGGGCCACAGUGACGGCAAUGGGAGCCCUGGUUAUCCCACCUGAUCCAGGACGGGGCAGGGAUAAGCAAACUGCAGGAAGUCCCCCAGAGCCCAGAGCUACUCCCAGUCACCAAGGGUUAAUGUGUGUGUACCCCACGAGCCAAGGUUACCCUUUUCUGCCCACGCUGAAUAGCUCAGGCACAGCACAGGGCUUGUUGCUCAGAAGGCCUGCUCACUGAAUUGCCUACUGUCUGCCUGGUGCUCCCCUAACAAUCACCAACAGAGGCAGGGCCGCCAGGGCUGGCGGCUGGAGGGGGCAGGGGAUGCCGGAGCUUUGGCCCAGGUCCCUCUGCAGAUUCCUCCAGAGAUGCCACUCGGUACCAGCUCCGGCCUGAUGGGCCGACAGGGGUGAUGCUGGGGUGAGGGGGCGGGCGGAGACUUGACCUAUAGGAGGAGACUCUUCUGCAUGGCAGGGAGAGUGAUUUGAGGCUUGGUCAGAACCACAGGCCUCUUCAGAGAGCUGACGUGCUGUCUAAUAAAGGUUGAGUGUAGAGGGUUAGUGGGCCUGUGACAUGAUGCCAGCGAUGGUGGCAUGAGAAAUAUGCACAGGCCUCCCUCGCCCCCAGCUCAUCAGGCAAGGCACUGGCCACAGGCAGAGAAAACAAGAGCCACAAAGCAAGAUGAGGGGCCUCAGCAGGGUCCCAGUGCAGCUGCUGGACAAAAGGCUCACUGGAAUAAAUGCAGGAGAGUCAGGGUGCCAAGAAGCAGUGGAAGCUGAACAGAGAGAUCAGUCCAAGGCUGGCAUUCCUAGAUGCAUGUGUGAAAAUGCCUUGAAAAGCAGAGAGUUUCUGCAUGUUCAGGAUGGCCCCAGAGAAGUUCCUGGGAGCUGGUUAGAGUGACUCCCAAGCUGCAACUAUUGCCGAGCUGCAUCCUGGGUGAGGAUGCAGACCUCCAAGGGGAUUGUGUAGUGGGAGCGCCAGCAAAGGUCAAGCCAAAGUCUGCGGCCAGGGAAUGCUGCUGUGUGUCCAGUGCUUUCCCUGCCGACAAGAGAGCUAAGGAGCAAUGGCGGGCUCCUGCACUCUGGGCAGUGGGGAGGCAGGGGGCUGAGAAGCUCCUUCUCCCCCAACCAGGCACCCUCCAGAGCUCGACAAGGAGAAACAAGAGAAGGUGGGCACAGGAGGACUGUGGAUUGGAACUUAGAUAUAUUUGACUCGUUAUAUUUAAAAAUUUUAGUAGCUACUUGUUAUAUAUGAGGAGUAUUAUAUUACUAUGAUAGGUAUUAAUACAUAAUAGUAUAUUCUUAGAAGAUGAUAUAUAUACUUAUCUUAUGAUCAAGGAUUAUACUCCCUCCGCCCUAACAGUCCUUCACAAUGGGUAGGAUACUUUACUGUGGAGAGAACACGUAGCUGCUGCAGAGCCAGAAUUUGAACCCAGGUCUGCAAAUCCAAAGCCUGUGCUGUCUGCACUUCACCAGAUUGUUCUGAAGGACCCCAGAGGUGUCAAGGCUUCCCUGGAAGCAGAGCCUCUGGCCAACCAGAGCAGCCCAGCCAAGGCCAAACGGCCACUCGCAGACAAUGCUGUUAGGCAAGCAUCUUGUACCGGGUGUGGACACAGCAGGUCCCACUGAUGGGAGAUGUCAGACCAGUUUAACACCUGAUUUGAGAGAGAUGGACAUUUUAGGGAUUGAAUCUUAGCCGCAUCACAUGUUAGUUUCCAGGUGAGGCAUGAAAAAUCUUUCCGUUGCACACAGACUCAUUUGGAACGAUUUGUCAGAAUGGCACUGGGCCUGGAAUCUGGUCCAAAGAGCUGGAGGUCACCUCCCUGCCUUCCUGGGCUUUCUUCCUUCCUCAGCAGCCACCUGUGGUCAUGCACGCUGGGCACACCCCUUCAGAAGUGCUUCCUUAAACAGAACCAGAAGCUCCCUCCUUCUGGACCUGGUUCUGCGCGGAACAGCACGUAUCAAACCUCAUCCGUGUACAGCCCUUCAGAGAAGCUGGUGUCCACCCAUUCAUCUCCCAACAUGUGCCUGAGCACCUGCUGGGCUAAGCACUGGAGAUAUAAAAUGAAUUAUGCCCAUAAAAUGCUCAUAACUUAGUGGAGAGAAAUGAGUAAAACGGCAGCCACAGUUCAGUGUGACAAAGGUGAUGUGGAGGGCAGGGUGGGAGCCUUGAACCCAGCCUGGGUGGGGCUGAAGGGCGUCUGCAGAGGCUUCUCAUAGGAGGUGACGCAUGGGCUGAAUCUCCAAGGAUGAGGAAGGCAGGGAGGGAAUUCCAGUGAAGGAAGCAUGAGCAAGAUUAGGAGGAUGCAGGGGAGGGGUGGGGAAGGGUGAGGAACGUGGUGCUCUAAGAAGCCACAGUGGUUUGUUUUGACCCCGUACAGGGUGAUGGGGAGACAAGGCAGGGAUGUGGCUGGCAGGGCCGGGUCUCAAGGGACCAUAAGUGUCAUGCUAGGGGUCUGGACUUUGUCUAAGGGUAAAGAGGCAUCAUAGAAAGGUUUUAAGAGAGUGUAGAGGCAAGGAGUUGGGGUGGGAGGCUGAAGCAGUCAUUGGGCAAAAGAUGAUACGGCAGUGGGGGAUUAAGAGCAGUGAACUGACCCAAGACAUAGAUAGAUAGACAGACAGACAGACAGAUUUUUUUUAAUUGAGGUGAGAUAUAUAACAUAAAAUUAACCAUUUUAAAGUGAACAAUGGCAUUGAGUACAUUCAGUGGCAUUUAGUACUUUCACAAUGCUGUGCAACCACCACCUCUGUCUAGUUGCAAAACAUUUUCAUCACUCCAAAAGGAAACACCAUACCCAUUGAGCAGUCACUCUUCAUUUCCUCCUCCCGUGGUCCCCGACAACCACCAGUCUACUUUCUAUCUCUAUACAUUUGCCUAUUCUGGACAUUCCAUACAAAUGGAAUCAUACAAUAUGUGGUCUUUUGUGUCUGGCUUCUUUUGCUUUGCCAAGAGAUAGUAAAGAGAGGAGCUGAUAGAGCUUGGUGACUGGAUGCAGGAGAGAGGGAUAACUUAAGCCUUGGUAAUGUAUGGAUGUCGACACCCCUUACUGGGGAAGGAACCCAAGAGGAGCAGCCUGGGGUAAUUGGGUGGGCAGGAAGAAAGAGGAAGAUGACUGGCCUCGUUUGGAAGCUGUUGACUUUGAGGGGCCCAUGGGCAGCUGUGUGGAGAUGCUCAGUAGCAAGUGGCUGUCCAGGGUUGGGUUGGAGGUAUAGAUCUGGGGGUCAUCAGCAGGUGAGUGUGGCUGACAUCCUGGACAGAGCAGAGAGCAUGUGAGAGUGGAGGGUCAAGGCUUUGACCCUGGGAACAGAGGCAGAGUUUCUACAGUGGAGCCUGACAAAGGGCAUGUAGAGAAGAGGAGAAAAGUCAAGUGUCCCAGCAGGCAGGAAGUGGAGGUGUGUAUUCUAACCUUGUUGGUCUCAGGUCCUUUGAGAAUCUGAAAAAUUGUGGACUCACUCCUCAGGAAAAUGCACACAGAUGCAUCGUUUGGGAUAUCAUUUCAGCAUGUUCACAGACACCCUGAAAUCCAACUGAGGACCCUCUGGGUGUUCAUAAACCUCAGGUUAGGAACCUAUCCAGUUGCAGAUUCAAGAAGAGAGUAGUUACCAAGGUCAUAUACCACAGCCAAGUUAGAGAUGAAUUGAAAAAAUUGCUUAGAUUUGGCAAGAAACGCAUCAUGAAUGGCUUUCAUAGUUCUUUGCAGAAGAUAGACUUUAGGGGCUUGAGAAGCAAACGGAAAGUGGUAGAGACUUGAGUCUAGCCUACCUUUUCAGGAGGCUUGGCUAUGAAGGGACGGAGUCUAUGAUAGGAAUGUCUUAAAGAUGAGCAGAAGAGCCGGUGGAGAAGGAGAAGUUGAAGAUGCCCAGAGGGGUUGGUUGGGAUGGAGGGGCUCUGCGGGAGGCAGGCUGAGGGCUGUGCACCACCUAGUGGGCUGAGCUGGACAAGUAAUAGAAGCUGUCUGUACCUCUGCAUCCUCACUCAUAUGGGCAAUGCUAGUGCUUCCCUCGUAAGGUUGGAGUGAGAUGAAGUAUGAAAGAAUCCAUGUAAAGCAGUUGAAUGGUGCCUGGCAUGUAGGUACUGAUCAAUACACAUCUGCAAUGAUUAUUGUUAACAUUACCACCACCAUCCAGUGCCCAGGUACCUGGGUGCACGCCUCUUCCCUGAAGAGCAAGAAGGAAGUUCCAGGGUGGGGGCAGGAUUGGAUAUGGUUGAAGGUGGAAGGGAGGCUGUGAAGGAAGCCAUUCUCCCUCUCCCUCUCUUCCUCCCAAGGCCUCUUUUCUCUGUGAAAUAGGAGGCUAGCUAGAAGAAGGGGGGGAUGUUUGAGGGCAGUGAGGAGGCAGCUGGACCUGGGGACAUAAAAGGAUCACCAGGUAGUGUUUGAGGUCUAGCUGAGGUUGAAGGUACCAGACUCAUGGCUACACAACUCUCCAUGGCUACACAAAUGCUCAGCAGCUUGUACAUCUUGUCCUGAUCCAGGGUUAGGAGUUCAUGGGGCAGGCAAGGGAGAUGGAAUAAAGUUCAAAAGAGAAUGGCUGGCUUUGGAAAACAGUUUGGUGGUUCCUCAAAAGGUUAAACAUAGUUAAAAUAUGACCCAACAAUCCCACACCUAGGCAUAUACCAAAGGCAACUGAAAACAUAGGUCCACACAAAAACUGGCACAUGAAUGUUCAUAGCAGCAUUAUUCACAAUAGCCACAAAUAGAAACAACCCCGAUGUCCAUCAGCUGAUGAAUGGAUAAAUAUAAUGGGGUAUGUCGAUAUGGUGGAAUAUUGUCCAGCCCUAAAAAGGAAUGAAGUUUGGAUACGUGCUACAACAUGGAUAAACCUUGAAAAUAAUGUAAUUAAAAGAAGCCAGUCAUAAAAGACCACAUAUCGUAUCAUUCCAUUGAUCUGAAAUAUCCAGAAUAAACAAAUGCAAUAGAGGGAAAGUAGAUUAGUGGUUCCCUGGGUCUGAGAAAUGUUGGGGGUCAGAGAAAAUGGGGAGUGACUGUUCAUGGGUACAGGGAAGUAAAAUACUCUAAAAUUGUGGUGACGUGGUGACGUGCUCAACUCUGAGUGUACUAAAAAGCAUUGAAUUGUACACUUGAAAUGAGUGAAUUGUAUGAUAUGUGAGUUAUAUUUCAAUAAAGCUGUUAUUUUUAAAAAGAA